rnacentral:rRNA from 1 species
ACCGAGUGAGGGCCCUCUGGGUCCAACCUCCCAACCCGUGUUUAUUUUACCUUGUUGCUUCGGCGGGCCCGCCUUAACUGGCCGCCGGGGGGCUUACGCCCCCGGGCCCGCGCCCGCCGAAGACACCCUCGAACUCUGUCUGAAGAUUGAAGUCUGAGUGAAAAUAUAAAUUAUUUAAAACUUUCAACAACGGAUCUCUUGGUUCCGGCAUCGAUGAAGAACGCAGCGAAAUGCGAUACGUAAUGUGAAUUGCAAAUUCAGUGAAUCAUCGAGUCUUUGAACGCACAUUGCGCCCCCUGGUAUUCCGGGGGGCAUGCCUGUCCGAGCGUCAUUGCUGCCCUCAAGCCCGGCUUGUGUGUUGGGCCCCGUCCCCCGAUCUCCGGGGGACGGGCCCGAAAGGCAGCGGCGGCACCGCGUCCGGUCCUCGAGCGUAUGGGGCUUUGUCACCCGCUCUGUAGGCCCCGGCCGGCGCUUGCCGAUCAACCCAAAUUUUUAUCCAGGUUGACCUCGGAUCAGGUAGGGAUACCCGCUGAAACUUAAGCAUAUCAAUA